rnacentral:tRNA from 1 species
GGGGGUAUAGCUCAGUUGGGAGAGCGUCGCGUUCGCAUCGCGAAGGUCAGGGGUUCGAAUCCCCUUACCUCCA